rnacentral:rRNA from 1 species
UACGGAGGGUGCAAGCGUUAUCCGGAUUUACUGGGUUUAAAGGGUGCGUAGGUGGGUCUGUAAGUCAGUGGUGAGAUCUUCAAGCUUAACUUGGAAACUGCCAUUGAUACUAUAGGUCUUGAAUUAUCUGGAGGUAAGCGGAAUAUGUCAUGUAGCGGUGAAAUGCUUAGAUAUGACAUAGAACACCAAUUGCGAAGGCAGCUUACAACGGAUCGAUUGACACUGAGGCACGAAAGCGUGGGGAUCAAACAGG